AUUAGUAAUAUGAGUAGUAAGUAUAAGUUACAUGCACACUGUGAAUCAUGCCAUUUCUGUCUGUAUUAUUGCUUUGAAGGUGGAGAGUGGAGUGAUGCCUCCAAGUUUGCAGUCUGUGCCAUUAUCUGCCACACUGCUUUUCCUCUUUGACUGAUCCUAUUGUCUGGCAUCGCAUAUUUGAUCCCCAACUGGAGGAUCCUGCAGCUGGUGCUCUUCAGCCCUCUUGUUGUUGACCUGCCAACCUUUUACUGGAUUCUUCCAGAGUCAGCUCGCUGGCUUAUCACCCAGGGCAGGAAAGAGGAGGCCAUAAAGGAGAUCCGGAAGGCAGCCAAGGUGAACAGGAGGAAGGUCCCGGAAGAUCUGCUGGACAAGCUGGAGAUUGACGGUACAUCCAAAAGAGGAAGCAUGUUGGACAUCUUCAGGAUACCAUAUCUGAGAAAACGUUCAUUUAUAACAUGCUUCGUUUGGUUUGGAACAAGUCUGGUAUACUACGGACUGAGCCUGAAUGUUGCCAAUUUUGGC